rfam:Trypanosoma vivax Y486, WGS project CAEX01000000 data, contig: 902
UGGCCGUACACGCAAUUCAAAAACGAAAGGGAAAGUGUUGACAGCAAUGCUGCGAGCGGUAAAGAGGGAUUGUUGAAUGAAGAAGGGAGCAAUGCCGUGUACAUUCGCCGCGAGGUUGUGCGCGUGUGGUACAUUGUGGAAGAGAAAAUGUGUGCGUGGUAUAUCGAGAGGAAGCUUGUGGAACCCAGGACGUGCAUUGUGAUUGGCACGCCUGGCAUUGGCAAGUCAUUCGCGUGCGGCUCUUUCCUGCUCUAUCAACUGCUUCACUACGAGGGUGGGCUGCUUGACGUUGUGGCGUACUUUGUUCGUGACAGCGCUUACGUGAUACACAACGCGAGGCCCGGCGUGCCCGCUCCGCGCCCUCUCGGCGCUGGCGACGGCGACGGGGCGCCCCCACCCGUCUUGAAACACGGACCAAGGAGUCAAACAGACGCGCAAGGGCAGAGGCACGCCUCAGGCCUCUCCGCCCGCACUGAAAGGGAGACGCGCUCCGCGUCCGUGGCGCGCGCACGCGUGCUCAGCGCCGGCCGGCCCCCCGCGGGCUGCGCUCGAGUGUGCCUGUUUGGACCCGAAAGGUGGUGAACUAUGCCUGAACAAGGCGAAGCCCGGGGAAACCCGGGUGGAGGCCUGUAGCGAU